rnacentral:rRNA from 1 species
CUGGCGGCAUGCCUAACACAUGCAAGUCGAACGAAGUCCUUCGGGCUUAGUGGCGCACGGGUGCGUAACGCGUGGGAAUCUGCCCCUUGGUUCGGAAUAACAGUUGGAAACGACUGCUAAUACCGGAUGAUGACGUAAGUCCAAAGAUUUAUCGCCGAGGGAUGAGCCCGCGUAGGAUUAGGUAGUUGGUGUGGUAAAGGCGCACCAAGCCGACGAUCCUUAGCUGGUCUGAGAGGAUGAUCAGCCACACUGGGACUGAGACACGGCCCAGACUCCUACGGGAGGCAGCAGUGGGGAAUAUUGGACAAUGGGCGAAAGCCUGAUCCAGCAAUGCCGCGUGAGUGAUGAAGGCCUUAGGGUUGUAAAGCUCUUUUACCCGGGAUGAUAAUGACAGUACC